UGCAAGAAUAUACUCAUUUGUGUCUCUCUUUCCACUCGACCGUACAGAACUAUCCGCUAUGAGGUCGACGACUCAUUCGCUGCCACACACAACCAAUAAAACUACCUCGUGGUAAUCUAAGCUCUUUGGACUCUGGGGAUUGCUAUUUGCUGGCUCAGUUCAGAAGUGGUAUUAUCAAUAUUUAGUAAUGGCACUCUCGGCUUGCUGUCUCGGCCCUUCUAACCUGAACCCUUUGCCUUCAUCUUCCGUGUUCAAGCCUCUCAGAUUCCCACCCUUCUGGCCAAGACAAAAAGUGAAGAUGGGUCCGCUGAGCGUGUCUCCAAUGGGGUUUGGAACGUGGGCAUGGGGCAAUCAAUUUCUUUGGGGGUACCAGGAAUCGAUGGACAAUGAGCUUCAACAAGUCUUCAAUUUGGCUUUGGAGAAUGGGGUCAAUCUCUUUGAUACUGCUGACUCUUAUGGGACAGGGAGGUUAAAUGGGCAGAGCGAGAAGCUUCUGGGAAAGUUCAUCCGAGAAUUUCAAGGGCAAAAGGGUGGCCAGGGUGAGAUAGUAAUUGCCACGAAGUUUGCAGCAUACCCAUGGCGCCUUACACCGGGUCAAUUUGUGGAUGCUUGCAGGGCAUCGCUAGAUCGAAUGCAGCUUGAGCAAAUUGGAAUAGGACAACUGCAUUGGUCGACUGCCAAUUAUGCUCCUUUGCAGGAGCGAGCUCUCUGGGAUGGUCUUGUGGCAAUGUAUGAGAAGGGUUUAGUUCGAGCUGUUGGAGUGAGCAAUUACGGACCGAGGCAACUAUUGAAGAUACAUGAUUAUUUGAAAGCGCGGGGAGUCCCCUUAUGCUCAGCCCAGGUGCAGUUUUCUCUGCUGAGCAUGGGGAGAGAUCAGUUAGAGAUAAAGAAUAUAUGUGAUUCUCUGGGCAUUCGCUUGAUCGCUUAUAGUCCUUUAGGACUUGGUAUGCUUACUGGGAAAUAUUCACCAUCGAAGCUUCCAACCGGGCCUCGGGGCUUGUUGUUCAGACAAAUCCUACCUGGAUUGGAGCCUUUACUGGGUUCCUUGAGUGAGAUUGCUAAAAAACGACGCAAAAGCAUGGCGCAAGUAAAUAUCUUUUCCCCUUGUGCCUGGUUUCUGGCUGCGACACACGCACAAGCAAUUUCGUGUCACCAUCACUCCCAGGAAAAAAAUUGGAAGUGUGAUACAUCUGACAAGGGUAGCGAUAAAUUGGUGUGUGAGCAAAGGGACGAUACCAAUACCAGGAGUGAAGUCAAUAAAACAAGCACGAGAAAAUUUGGGUGCUCUUGGGUGGCGCCUCUCUUCAGAUGAGUUGCUUCAGUUAGAAUUUGCAGCACAGGAGUCUCCUCGCAGCAUGAUCCAGAACAUUUUCCAAACCAGAUAAAUAUUAAAGGGUGAAACGCAGCCUCGAUACAAGAUGAAGACCUCGAAACACUUCCCAUUGGUUGAACGUUUCAAUGGUUAUCCGGACGAGCCAGAUGUUCAGGGAAAAUUAGGUGUUCCAUAUUUUGGUCGCCCUUGCUAAACUUUACUGAAGCACCACAACUGAUUAGAGCGUCAGGGCACUGCAUUGUAAAUGCACGUUAAAAACAUCAUUUGCUGGCUGCCGUGAAGAAUACUUUCGCCA